UGAAAGGUUUUUUUUAAAACCACAUGAACAAUAGAGAAAAAUUAUAG
rfam:Anolis carolinensis unplaced genomic scaffold chrTn0105, whole genome shotgun sequence.